rnacentral:misc_RNA from 1 species
GAUGAAGAACGCAGCGAAAUGCGAUAAGUAAUGUGAAUUGCAGAACUCAGUGAAUCAUCGAAUCUUUGAACGCACAUUGCGCCCUUUGGUAUUCCGAAGGGCAUGCCUGUUCGAGCGUCAUUAUCACCCCUCAAGCCCUCGGCUUGGUGUUGGACGGUUUGGUGGAGGCCCCCUCGGGGGCUCCUGCCCCUCCCAAAGACAAUGACGGCGGCCUCGUUGGACCCCCGGUACACUGAGUUCUUCACGGGACACGUAUCGGACACAUGGGUUUACGGGACACGGUCUGCCUCCCCUCAGGGAGAAUCUUUCUAAGGUUGACCUCGGAUCAGGUAGGGAUACCCGCUGAACUUAAGCAUAUCAAUAAGCGGAGGA